rnacentral:rRNA from 2 species
GGCGGGACACGUGGUAUCCUGUCUGAAUAUGGGGGGACCAUCCUCCAAGGCUAAAUACUCCUGACUGACCGAUAGUGAACCAGUACCGUGAGGGAAAGGCGAAAAGAACCCCGGCGAGGGGAGUGAAAAAGAACCUGAAACCGUGUACGUACAAGCAGUGGGAGCCUCUUUAUGGGGUGACUGCGUACCUUUUGUAUAAUGGGUCAGCGACUUAUAUUCUGUAGCAAGGUUAACCGAAUAGGGGAGCCGAAGGGAAACCGAGUCUUAACUGGGCGUUAAGUUGCAGGGUAUAGACCCGAAACCCGGUGAUCUAGCCAUGGGCAGGUUGAAGGUUGGGUAACACUAACUGGAGGACCGAACCGACUAAUGUUGAAAAAUUAGCGGAUGACUUGUGGCUGGGGGUGAAAGGCCAAUCAAACCGGGAGAUAGCUGGUUCUCCCCGAAAGCU